UUUCGUAGAAUGCAGUCGAGAUGGCCAUAAUAUUUAAUUUGUUGGUCAUUCAGCUGCUAACGGAAUGACAUAUCCUUAACCUUAACGAACUGACGCUAAUAGUGACUAACACUAAAAAAAAAUCGUUACCAUGAUUAAGAAGAGGUUGAGUGAUUUAAGACGUACAUUUUUAAUCAUUUGUAUUAAAUGCUUACUUAUACCUACUAGUUCGGAGGUAACCUUGCCAUUACAUAAUUUUAUAAUUCACGUCGAUGGUAAAAUAAAUUUAUAAUGGAAAGACUAAACCAUUCAUGCUCAGUUGCGCUCUCCUGUGUGUAAAUAAUAAUUUUGCGGCAGUGCUACUUAAAGACGUUAAGUAAACUCUACUUUUUCGCCAUGAUCAUAUCUUUAACAGGAUAUCUUUCGACCUUAUUGUUGCUGACCCAUGCGGUUCGUGGACAGUACUACAGAGAUGAGCGCUGUCGAGUGCAAUCAUCCAGAGGCAUCGGCCGCUGUAUGGUCAUAGGGGAUUGCGCAUACGCUAUACAACAACUACGUCGCAACAUCUACCCCCAGCUGUGUGGUUUUUUGGGCAUUCAACCGAUAGUAUGCUGUCCUGUCCAGGAUGUGGUGAGACCUAAACCAACUACUCGUCCCACAACCACAGCCGCACCACAACUCCAGUCGAGGAGUGCUGAAAGUAAGUUCCAGUUUACUUUCCCUUUUUUGACAUUUAUAUU